rnacentral:rRNA from 1 species
CAGUCGCCGCGGUAAUACGAAGGGUGCAAGCGUUACUUGGAAUUACUGGGCGUAAAGCGUGCGUAGGUGGUGGUUUAAGUCCGUUGUGAAAGCCCUGGGCUCAACCUGGGAAUUGCAGUGGAUACUGGGUCACUAGAGUGUGGUAGAGGAUAGUGGAAUUUCCGGUGUAGCAGUGAAAUGCGUAGAGAUCGGAAGGAACAUCUGUGGCGAAGGCGACUAUCUGGGCCAACACUGACACUGAGGCACGAAAGCGUGGGGAGCAAACAGGAUUAGAUACCCGGGUAGUCCCUGUCUCUUAUAC